rnacentral:lncRNA from 11 species
UUAAGUUUGGACCACACCCGGUGGGGUGUAUCUGUGUCUGUGUGUAUUAACUUCUGCUCUCCUACUUUUGGUUUCAUUUUUGCUUUUUGGAUCUUUCUCUUGGAAGAAGAGGGCGGGGAAGCCAUGCUUUUUGUUUUUUGCAAUGCUUUUUGAAUCUCGAAAUUCUUACAAGGACUAUUGCAUCUUCUCAACCACCCUCCAGACAGAAAAAAGAAAUCUCAGAUCUAAAAGUUAAUGACAGCAGUACUAUGAAGUCAAGAAUGUAAAAAGAAGUUACAAUGUGCAAAUGCAAAGCUGAAAACAAAAUAUAACUGCAUAAAGCAUGUGCUGAGAAAGCUAUUUUACCUUCAACAAAUGGAUGACUUCUAAGCAUCAAUUAAAAAAUGGAACAGACUCAUUCAAAGGCAACACCAUCUUGGAACAAAGCCCAUUGCUUUGAAUAUGCUCCUGGUCACAAGGAGCAGAAAGAAAGCGCUAGCUCUUUUUUGCUUCCCGGACCCCAACACAAAGACAUCAUUUAUCUGUUCUGUCCUCUUUUUGAUGCAGAGGAGGGCAGAGUGGUGAUCCUUACUCUCUCAUUUCCACACAGAAAUAACUUCCCAUCUAUAGGAUAUUUUCUUCAUUACAUUCAGAGGAGGAGAAUGAAAGUAGUUUGGAGCUGGCCUUGA